AAAUAGGGAGCUAGGGAGGGGUAGGCGGUGAAGGGUAGGGGGUAGGGGAAGACGGAGUGACGCCAGCCCUCCCCGCCCCCUUCCCGGGGUGGGGGUGCUCCCUGGAUCCGCCGUGGAUUUCUUCCUCCGCAGCCCCGCCAGCCUAAGGGACAAUAAGCCACAUGCAAGUGGGAAGGCUUGGCGCCCUGCCCUCUGCUGUGGGGUCCUGACAGCUGGACCAGGGCAGCAGGGGAGCGACAGCAGCCUCUCCUCUUCCAGGACCGGGAGCUGGGGGAGCGGAGCCCUGGCAGUGCUCAUGGGCACAAAGGGCACCACAGCAGCGCAUUUGAGUGGUUGGAAAAGGGGCACCUGGGACAGGGCACCCUUCUGGUCUAGUCCCCACCAGCAUGGAUGGCUUUACUCAGGGAGCGGGGGUUGUGCUCACUGAGGUCAGAAAGCCAAGAUUAUCCAAGGCCACCUUGGUCCCAGCCCACGGGUGGGUCAGGGCCUGACCAGGGAAGAAGCUGAGAAGGGUUGCUGUGAGAACUUGGCCAAGUCUUGCUGGAGAAGGGACCAGGUUUACCGCAGUCCAGAUAUCAGGUAACCCUCGUCCAUGCUGCGGGUUGUUUUGCUCAAACUCAGACUCCAGUCUGUAGGCCAGAAAAGGACCCCCUGAUGAAUGCCAUAAAUAGCUUGCCCACUUGCUGUUGGAUAGAGGAACAUCUUUAAGCUGGGAACAAAGGCCUUCAUUCCAGGGGAAGACAAGACUGAAAAGGCAAAUACUCUUGUUGAGACGGUAACAGCAACUCAAACCAUACGAACAUAUAUCAACCCUCACCAUGCAAAGUGCAAUCUGGGGACAGGCACUGUCAUCAUAACCCAGGAAUGGGUUAGAAAUUCAGAGUCUCAGCCACAACCCACCAGCCCCCACACACAGACUGCAUCAGAGACUGCUUUUCAGCAAGAUCCACAUUUGAUUGGUAUGUACAUUGAAGUGUCAAAAGCACUGGUAUAAACGAUCGAUGUCAUCUCCUUCCUGAAAAACAGAUUUUGAAGGAUCUUGGGACUUUUGAGGAGGACAAAGAAAGAUGACAUGAAUUGGGGAAAGGGGGAGGAACAGGGAGACAUAAGAAGGACACAGAUCACUAGUUUGCCCUGGGGUGCCCUGUAUUCUCAGUUCUUGACUGGGGCUUUGAUUUUUAAUGCUUGUGUUUUCCCUCUAGUUCACACCAGUUAAAAAUAGAAAACUGGGCAUAGGCAUCCCUCUGUAGAGUGGUCUUGGACUGAUAUGCUGACGAGGCCUGCUGAUUAGAUACUUGUCCAGACUGGGGAAUGCUGAGACCUCCUCUCUGAGCUCCCCGAACCAUGUUUGGAUUGGUCUGGAGAAAAAACUGCAAGGGCAGCCCGGUGAUGGAGCCAGACCCAGGAAUGGCUGCAUCCUGCAGUCUGAAAAAGACUGGUUUAUGUGCUAUGAGGCGGACCACUGAGCCUGUUUUGCCUGAGGUCACACAGAUGAGCACCUGGUAAAGUGCGAAUUCAAACCCAGGCACCUGACUUGAAGCCCUGUUCCACCACCCCAAGUGCCUCCUUGUCUACUCGAACUGCUAUUUCUCAGAAUGCGGUGCUAAAACCACCUGCAGCCCAAUUACAGGGCUGCUUAAUAGAAAUUCAAAUUCCCAAGUUCUACCCUAGAGGAUUGAAUUUUUGUUUUAGAUGCGCCCUCACGCCUCCACCUCAGGGGCCAGCGCCAUCCUGAGACUUUCUAUGUGUAUAUGGUCAACAUGGUCAACUUCUAGGUGAAGCUGGACACACUGCUGGCUGCAAAAUCCAUUUCUACUGAAAUGCUCUUUGAUAUGAUGUCAGCGGCCUAUACUGAGAAGCUGUGUAAGAAAUAAGUCACCACCUCUAUUGUAAGGACAUUGUCAUGGAUGUUCAUCACAGGACACGACCUUCUGUAUGAGCCUCUCGGGAGAAUUUCCUGUCUAACCCGAGUACCAAGAACAGGAGCACUUCUAUGGACCAACUAGUUUGUUCUGAUUCUGCGGUUCCUGAAUCUAGUGACCAGCCAGGCUUCUCUUUUGGUUGUGGCUAAGAAAACCAUCAUAUGUGGACCCGUUGUCAACAUGAUGGCAGGUCAUUAUGAUCUAUUUUACAUACCCGCUGCUCUUUUUCAUUUUUUCCCCCACUUUUAACUUUCAUUUCUCUAUCUUUGUAAGCUGCCGUAAAUCUUUUGUGGGACAAAACAAAGGAUGAGUGGCUAGAUGGAUAAGAAUGAACUCAAGGGAAUAAUGGAAAGCAUAUUUGAAGUUGGAAUUGGGAUGAUCAUUUUACACGUAACCAAGAGUCCCUGAUAACUUGUGUAUGUCUGUAGGUUUCUUCCAUCCCAAUGAAAGCAUGUAAUGCUUAAUAAAGACACCCAUUGCUUAUAAAGUACAA